rnacentral:rRNA from 1 species
AUUGAACGCUGGCGGCAGGCUUAACACAUGCAAGUCGAACGGUAACAGGGAGAAACUUGUUUCUCUGCUGACGAGUGGCGGACGGGUGAGUAAUGCUUGGGAAUCUGCCUUAUGGAGGGGGAUAACCACUGGAAACGGUGGCUAAUACCGCGUAAUAUCUUCGGAUUAAAGUGUGGGACUUUCGAGCCACACGCCAUAAGAUGAGCCCAAGUGAGAUUAGGUUGUUGGUGAGGUAAUGGCUCACCAAGCUUACGAUCUCUAGCUGGUUUGAGAGGAUGACCAGCCACACUGGGACUGAGACACGGCCCAGACUCCUACGGGAGGCAGCAGUGGGGAAUAUUGCACAAUGGGCGCAAGCCUGAUGCAGCCAUGCCGCGUGAAUGAAGAAGGCCUUAGGGUUGUAAAGUUCUUUCAUUAGUGAGAAAGCGGUUAUAUCUAAUAGGUGUAACCAUCGAUGUUAGCUAAAGAAGAAGCACCGGCUAACUCCGUGCCAGCAGCCGCGGUAAUACGGAGGGUGCGAGCGUUAAUCGGAAUGACUGGGCGUAAAGGGCACGCAGGCGGUUAUUUAAGUCAGAUGUGAAAGCCCCGAGCUUAACUUGGGAAUUGCAUUUGAUACUGGGUAACUAGAGUCCUCUAGGGAGGGGUAGAAUUCCAUGUGUAGCGGUGAAAUGCGUAGAGAUGUGGAGGAAUACCGAAGGCGAAGGCAGCCCCUUGGAGAGAGACUGACGCUCAUGUGCGAAAGCGUGGGUAGCAAACAGG